GAGAGAGAGAAGGAGAGAGAGCCAGCAUGAGCAAACAAGCUGUCGAUAGGUCUGCUAGCAGCAGCCGUGCUGCAGCGGAGAGAAAAAUCAAGAAACAAGUCAUAGCAACACUGGGCACCAGGUUCUGCCAAGCGCUCAGAAAUCUGUUGGGUGCCAGAGGCCUCUGGGUAGCCUAGGCUAAGAUGUCACGCAAGGUGGCACAGGCAGUUCCCAUGGGGAGGACGUGGGAAUGGGUGGGGGCAGGAGUGAGUACAAGAGUUGGUAGGGUGGCAGUAGAAGGCUUAAUCAGAGUGGAUUCUGGAACAUUCAGGACUGCGGCACCUUGUAUCUGGACAGGGAUUUGGGACUGCGCAGGAGGCGACUGGUGGUCCAGUGGGGCUUAAGGACUUGAUGGCGUAACCCACUUCUUCCACGGAGGAGACUGGGGAGAUGGAUUUGAAGAGGAUUGACCAAAUUGGAAGAAAAUAUUUGUCCUCUGCUUUGGUGUCAGAAAAAGGAAUUUUCCAAUCUGCCACACCUCAGUGUUGCGGCAAAAAUAAUUCUUGGCUCCCCUGGAAACCAUCGGGCAAGGUAGGGCAGAACUGCUGCUGCUGUCGCCAUAACCCUGGGCUUCCUAUUGAAUGGGCUGCUCCCAAGUGAACAGAUCUGCGUUGAUGCUCUGGUCGUCCAAAAGUCCUCAAAUCAGCUCUGAGCUGAGCCCACUAUUGGAAGAACCUGCCUUUUGGAAGUUGCCGCUACCUUCUGCUUGGAAAGAUUUGGCUGAAGCCCUCUUUUCCUGCCUGGAGACUUAUUGGGGACGUGAAAUGAGAGAAUAGCAGGUGACUAACAAAUUAGGGGAGGACUAAAUACUUCUAAGUUGUCACAGCAAGAAGAAAGGGGAAUAUCUCAGGAGUUUGACCUCAAGCCUGCAAAGUGGUGGUAUUCCACCAGGAGUGAGUACACCUUUGUUUCUGAAGGGAUGAGGUGAUGGUCGGCUCAGAAUGGGUUAAGCAGGGGUAUUUCUGACAGCCUUCUGAUGGUAGAUUUGUUUGUUUUCUUGCUGAAUCUCAACAGUGUCUGUAUGCUUCCUGAUGCUGUUGAGUCCUGUGGGAGGGGAAUCUGAGCACCCUGAUGCCCCUUAUCCCCAAUUCUGGACUGUGGAGCUGAGAGUGACAACAGCCAAGAAUUCUAUAGAGUACAGCUCCAACUGUAAGUAGGUGACAUUCUCUUGGCAACUCAGGCUCAGCUGAGGAUGAUGUUUGUGCAUCUAAGCCAUCAUACUAGAGCAGUUUGCCUACAUUUUUGUGGAACAGCAAAGAGGACCUGCUUGACCACCCUUCUUUCUAUGUGUGCUGAAAGAGGAAAAGUCAUGCUGGAUGAGGUUGCUGAGUUGGGAUGAGGGCCAGUAGGAAAGACUUGGAGCAUUCCAUGUGACCAAAGGUGGUUGUGCCCUACAUCAAAUCCCAGCUUCCAGUGUCUCCUCUGUUUCCUGCUUGAUUUGCUCUGCUCAAAGAUACCUUUUGACCUUUCCUCAUUCUUUUGGACCUUUUGCUUUCUAUGUUUUCAUCUACCCCUGCCUGUUCUUCCAUUUGUUUUUUCUUUAGGAUGAAUGAAAACCUUCUCAGCUACUGAUCCAGCAGCCAUAUUUAUUCUUUGCCUUCUCUUGUCUUCUUUGCCUUAUCUAAUUAAGCAAGGCAGAAAAGGCUAAUUGUCUUGGGGAGGAAGGUGCUUAGUAAAUAAAAGCCCAUGGUGUUCAGUGGUAGGGCCUAGUAGGUUAGAUAGUCUUCCUUCUUGUAGGUACUGUUGAGCCACCAAUUUGUAUGUUUCCUUGACGUCAAGUAUAGUUUAAUAUAACAUGGACCUGGUCUUGAUGGUAGAUUAAUAUCAAGCUGCUGAUUAGAAAGGAGAAGCAGCAAAGAAAGGUCUGAUCCUGCCUCUAAGGUAGGUGGAGUGUGGCCGCUCCCUGGAUCUAUUCCCUUAAACUUUACCAUUCCAAACCUCCAACAAUUAUCUUUUUCUUUGCACUCUCCCCCUGGCUUUUCUGUAAAUGGGUAACUAGCAGAGUGCUAUGAUAAAGGCAGCCUGCUCAACUAACUAGGCUGUGAGAUGUUUGGGAAAUAUCUGGGCAGCUCUGUAGACCUGGUAACUCCUUGGCUACUGACAGCUAACCUGAGCUUAUUCAGGGUGUAAUUCCCAUACCAUCCCUGAGGUCCCGGGAGCUGCCCAGGGUGCAAACAUGCUCUUUCCUUUUAGAGCGGUUAUUUGUCUUACUCUGGACACACUGAGCUUUAAGGGGGCUUAGGCUAAGCCUGGGAUCUGUAGCUUAUACUGGGCUGAGCAGUAACUAGAUUCUGGAUUUUUCCCUACUUGGAAUUUUUCUUUGAAUGAAUCAUUUUUUUCUUUAGGUCUUCAAUUGUCUUCAAAGUAUCUCUAGGUACUCAACAGGGAUAUGCUUUUCCUCUGCCUUACAAUAACAGCAAUGUUGAGUUAAAGUGAUGAUGUCCCUCAGAAGUAGGAAGACAACCCCAUUGUACACAAAUCAGAAAGCAGCAGGUGCUUGCUAUGACAUUCAAAAGUUCCUGUCCAUCAUUGUUGGCAGUGUUCUUAGCCAAUAGGGCCAGUGGGAACUAACUAAUAGCCAGAGAUUUAGGGUCUAAGGAUAAAAGGAAUUAUCCUGGAUAAUACUACUAGGUACCUGUAAGAUCUCAAUCCCAGCUAUCUAAUGUAGCUACUCUGCUGGCACCAUGUAGAUGCGUUUCUCCUUCCUUGCUCCCUCCCGCUACUGUCCAAGGAAGACAAAUGAAUCUCACCCCAUAUGUUUAAUUGUCUUGUUUUUCCCUUUAAGGCAAGCCUCUGAGGUUCUUGCCAAGAAAAGUCAGUUUGGAUGAGUUGUCUGUUACUUCAAGGAGCUGAACGAGUUCAGUCACUUCCUCAGUGGUGUGUGAGGGAUAGCAGAGGGUUAGAAGGACUGAUGUUUAAAUGGAGAGGUAAGUUCAAUCAGCUCUGCAGCUGGGAGAUAGAAAGGAAUAAACCUAGUCCAAGAUGAUACCCACUGGUGGGCUAGAGCCAGAUGUACUUAAGUACAAUCUAAUGCCUUGCUCCUAGCCUUAGCCUGGCUUCUGUUGUAUGACAGGCAGCAUUGUGUGUUGCCAGCCAACUAGGCAAGAAAGUUAGCAUGCCUUGAGUAGGAUAUAGGCAUGCCUGGCACUUUUCCCUUGGCCUCUGAGUCUCUAAGUUCUACAAGACAGUUGCGGUACUGAAGCUGAGACAGCAUAGCCAUAGAAUACAAAGUACUUUACUCAGAGCCAUUAUUGGGCCAUAUCAUCUUGGUUCUACUGAAUUCUGUUCUUACUGGGGCUAUGACUUGUUCAAAGGAUAUCUUGACUCUAUUCUCUGGCUUGGGUAUGUCCCCAAAACUGCAGCUUUAGAGGAGAACGUGAACUCUCACAGGUCAUUUUUUUAUACAUAUAGCCAACCUUUAGAAUAAGUAAGAGAUACUGCCCCAGUCACCCUGCCAUCUAUGGGAGGUUCUUGUUUUCCUUAAUUUAUCUGAUGAAUGGCCAUGAGAAAAGUAUACACUGGUUUGGAUCCUUGCUGGUUCCUUCCAACUGCUUUUAGGCUGAUAAGCAAGAAAAUACUCUUGAAGCCUCAUAGUCUGUGCAGAAUUUGAUGCUAUGGAAUGAUACCUAUGUGAGUAGAGUAUAGAAAUAGGAUGGAGGGAACCUCAUAGAACCAUGUUUCUUUGUAGUUGGAUCAAAGGAACAAGUCAUGAGGUUGGAUAUGUGGGAAGACAUAUCCAAAUAUCUAGACUGUAGGUGGGAUGGAGCCUGGAUGAAUCUCUAAUGAGGCAAGGAGAUAGGAUCAGAUAUCUUGGUCUCCAUAUUCCAUCCAUGGAAAAGGAGACUGCCCUCUCACCCUUGGUAACACAGAUUAUUUCCCUUUGAUUGUUAUUAAAGUAUAAUUAUUAAAUGACUUAAGUCAAAUUCACACAAUUGAUGAGUGAUGUUGAGGUUUGCUUCAGCACUUCUAAUUCCAAAGCCAUGUUUUCUCCUCACCCUUGGGCUAAAGUCAGUCAUUUUGUGAAUUAACAUCCCUAAGAAACAAUAUAAUCUACAGUAUAAGCAAACUAUGUCCCAGUAAGGCUGUCCACAUUCCUUUUGGGGAGAGGUAUGGCAGAUGUUAUUUGGUGUCCGUGGAAAUGAAAAAUAUCUUUUAGAUAUUGGUGGAUAUACUAGGACCUGGAGGUACAGAUCCCUGAGACUAGAUUUCUUCUUGUACUGUGGGUAUAAGAUUGUCUAUAAUAUAGCAGCAGCAUAAAAUAUACAGUAGCCACAGAUAACAUUGUGUGUGAAGGAAGAGGAAGACAUCACUCAUUGAAAAUAUGGUGACUAAAUUCUGUCAUGUUAGCAUUCAGAAGGCUGAAAUAGGAGAAUUGAGUUCUAAGCUAACCUGGACUAUCUUAGAUUAAGACCCUGUCUCAAACACCUCCCCCUCCAGAAGAAAAAAAAAAAAACACCUACAAAGAAAAUCACAGUGAGGAGAGUGGAAAGAAGAGGUCCAGAUGAUAGAUAGCCAAGCCCAUGUUAGUUGGGCUACCUUCCAAAAGGUUAGAGUUGGUAUGGAUACCAACUCUUCUUUUCUCUAAUUAAACAAAUCCUUACAAGUUCUUGGUAGCUCACAAAAGCAUGUACUAGGUUAGGAAUUGGUGGGAGGAGAGGUCAGACUCUGAGUCACCAGUCAUUUGGUACAGCUGCCCUUUUUCUUCUAUAGCCCUCGUCAGGCAUCAGGUGCUUUUGUGCCUCAGUCUAAUCACCACACCUCUCAUCCUUAUAGCACAAGGAGCAUUCAGCCAGGUCUUUAUUUGCUAAGUCACUGACAGUGUGUACCUGUGGGAGGCUAAUUUGAAUAGUAGUCUCUUCCGGGACCAUGGUUUCUACAGAGAAUAGACAACCAGAUUGGGAGACAUCACCUGCAGUUAGGCGCUUUGUGUACAUUGUGUGCAGGCCAUUGGUGCUAAGCCAUAAGAGCUUCUGCUCCAUGUGUUCAACUUCAAGAUUCAGAACUUGUUUACCUGUGGCUAAGGUGAGCCAUAUGUAAUUCCCUCCUCCUUGGCCUAACACUACUACUUGGGACUACUCAAAAUAUAGGAGCUGUCACUGGCUGAAGGUAUCAAAAUCUGCAUAGGGAUAAAGGUGUGUGUGUUUGGAGGUUAUAGCAUGGGGAAGUAAGUCAGGGAAAAUGGAUUUAUAUUGUUUAGUGUUCAUGCCCAUGUCCUUAGUUUACUUGUCUAUGAAACAGGUUUUGAAUGAGGAUCCUGUCAGAGGUUCAAACUCAUCUUGCCCCUUAGGCCUGUCCUGAAUAUUUGUGAAGGUUUUGUUUAGCUCGAAACUCGGGGUCAGGAAAAUGAACCCAACUUGCAAAGAGAGAAAGGAGGGAUCUUGAAGUCCUAAGAGCAACCAAGUUUAGUUCCAAAGAAGCACUCUAGCACUAGUGUGAAUGAUAAUUGGUGAUGGACAUAAAGUGGGUAGUAGGAGUGGGUUUUGGGUGGGUGGUAGAGAAGAGAAGGGGUUAACUGAGUAGAGGUAGCUGGUGAGGACUUACCAGGUGGAAGGAUAUGGCACUGUUCUCUCUUAGAGACAAGUAGGAGAUAAACAUAUGGGAGCUGGCUGUGAUGCAGGGUUCAGAUUGAGAGACCAUAUAUGUUCAAGGAAGGUAUUCUGUUCAGGGCCUGCCUUUGUUGGGAGAGGACUUUGAAUUUAUUUAUCCUCUUUUUCUUGUAUGGUUGAGACUCUAGCCCAGCUACAAGGUGGCAAAAAUUCUCCAAAGCUGCCUGAGUAGGAGCCCCUGUGCCAGGGAACAUGUAGAACAGUCUUAAGGAUGCAAGGAGCUUUAAGGAGCCUUAACGUUACUAUACAGAUCUCUUCACAUUAUCUGGUUCACUGGGUCUUUGCACAACACUGAGAAGAGAGGUAGCAUUGGUCCUGUCAUCAUUGAACUGAGCCAGGAAGAACCCACUCAGAACCACAUUGCUUCGAACUUGAAGUUUUGAACUUCAAUUUCUAACCUAGGUCCCCUGUUCUAGCUAGAUCAGGGGUUGGAGUGAAACUUAGAUGCCCUUAACAAUGUUCUGCAUCUCUGAGAUCUUCACUUCCUACUUUGCACAUUGGAGAGAGGAUGAAAAGCUCCUAAUGCCUUUAUUCUCCUUCCCACUGCUUCUCUGACUCCUAGGAGCUCUUGUGCUAUCUGGCUUGCACUUCUUGGCUAGAAUGCCCGGCAUUCCCCAUGGUCCUGGAGAGAUUUCUUGUUAAGCCAUUUUGACAUCUUCAUAGUGUUUUCCCUGUGAAUUCUGGCAUAUUUCUGUAGUGUAUUGCUCACUGUGGCAUCUUUGAGGUUUUCCCAUCCUAUUUGUUAGGGAUGCUUGGAGCUUUCUCAGCAAGUGUAUCAUGUUUGUGUUACCUGUUUGUUGGCUGAUAUAUAUCACCCACUGGAACCACUGGCUAAUGUACUGCAUAGUUAGAUGCUAGAAAUACUGUCAUCAGCUCAGAACCCCUGCCUCAUGAUCAGUAUAGGAGAAUGGGUUUCCUCAGUAUAUGAAAAGCUGGUGAGAGAAGUGAUGGGCCCUAGGUUUCUUUGAGUCCUGAAAACAGUCCUCAUUCUUUUAAGGACAUUGAGGCUGUAUCACCUCUUGGCUAUUCAGCCUCUAAGUGACUGAUAGAGGAUCUGAUAGAGGGAGAGAAAAGUUCUUGCCACAGGAUCCCCAAUGAAGGAGCUAGAGAAAGUACCCAAGGAG